rnacentral:tRNA from 1 species
GCUGGUGUGGCUCAGUGGCUAGAGCAUCGGCCUGCGGACUGAAGGGUCCCGGGUUCGAUUCCCGGUCAGGGCA